GGGAACAGCAGAUAAUGAAUUAGCCUCGGUUUACUUGCUGACGGCUGGGCUGGGCCUGCGCACUUUGCCCGGGGCAGAAGGUGCAGUUCAGCUCUUCUGUCCCGAGUGGGAGUGGGCAGGAUCCUGGCACCCGGCUGCUGCCCCGCUCCUCCUGGCCCCCCUGGGGCCUGGGAGCAUGGGACUGGCAUGGCUUGGCCUCAGGUGUGCCUCCGGGAGGAAGUACUGGCCGCAGGGCAAUGCCGAACUCGGUGUACGCGGCACCUGCUUCGUGCAGGAGCCCUGAGUCAGGCUGGUAGCUCGGCACGGCCACGCUUCCAGCAAGGGCCGUGCGUACACUGGGCGCUGCUGGAGCUCGGCCUCCCGGGCCUGCUCCCACGCUGCGGGGCUGGCUGCCGGCACGGCCGGCCCCGGGUCAGGCAUGUGGAAGUGAGAUGCAGCUGAGUGAGGGAGGAGAAAGAGCCAAAGGCUUUACGGGUGUGUUCUGAAGCAACAGAUGCAUUACCUGCGGUGCAGCAUGUAGGCACUUUAAGUCCUGAUGUAGCCUUCACAGGACCUUAGAGAGAGUUCUUGGCCUAGCAGCCGGUGUCCGCCCAAAUAUUUACUGUUCCUGGCACUAAAAUGGAUCCAUAUAACCCAUGUCCCAUACCAGCGGGGAAAUGAAUUAAAGCUUUGGAUAACACUUCCACCAACCUCGCUUGUUCUCUACAUGGACUCUACAAGAGGGCUGGCUGUGGCUCUCAGCUGUUUGAGUUGCAAUCACAACGUGAAAUCAGUGCUGUAGCUACAGCUGCAGAAAUUCCAGAAGUUCCUGCUCCGGGUCGCCUGCAAAGUAAAUCAGGGCGUGAGCCCUCAGAAAAUGCUGGUCUCUGUCUGCUUCAUCUCAAAAUGAGUGCUUGCUUCUAUUUAAAGACGAUGUGUUUUACCCUGAGUUUAUCACAAAAGGCUGGAUAAUUGGAUGAUACAAACUGGCAUAGCUCCUCGGAUGCCAACCAGCAUUUAACCCCAUUUCUGCAUUACUUGAUGGAACCGCUGCUUUGGAUGGGCAUCAGAGCACAGGGAUACCAAGCCAUAUGCAAUGAGACAUGUCGUUACCUAGUGGUCAAUCCACAGUACAGUAUGUUAAGAAGUUUGCAUUGUCCUAACCCAUGAGGCCAGUGUGCUGGCACUCCGUGGUGACUUCCUGACUGUGUGUCACCUACCUGGAACUGAAACCUUUCUGCUUCCCAGAGGUACAGUGGGUGGCACCUUUCCAAAAUUCUGGCAAAAUGUGUUUGUCAGUAAGCUGCACAAUCAGUGCCUUGUCACAGUGCGUGUAGAUCUCCAGAUGUUUUGCUUAUUUUCACAUCCCACAGACACACACUGUGGUCUAACGGAAGAAGAACUGGAUUUUUUUAUUAUUUUUUUUUCAUCUGUCAUCUCUUUAUCACUAGCUCUUGGUGAAUGCCUAGAGAAUUUAUGCAUCGCAGAUGCAGCCCCUUGGCUCCAGCGAGGAGCUUAUAAAUAGCGUAAUGCAAAAACUGCAGCCCGGCGCCAGUGCCGCGAGCUGCAGAGCCGUGUGCCCUUUUCAUGAAGGAGUCUAUAGCACAAACUCCUCUUGGCCUUCUAGCACAUCGCUGGGCUCAUAAAUAUUUCUGAGGUUAAAAAUAAGAUAAACAGCCCUGUCUAGUGGCAAUUUCAAUAACUACAUCAGAAGGACAUUACUUCUAAAAGAAUUCAGCCCCAUAUGUGUUGAAUCAAGUGAGCUUAAAAAUAGAUGGUUGGCUUGCUUUUCUACAUGGCAAAUGCUCCAAGUACUUCUCCAGAGACGCUGGAUAAACAUGUGAGGCCGUACUCUGCCGUUAGCUUUCUCCUAAGAGAUUAGCUGCCUUUAUUUAAUUUUCACCAAACCCAAUACAGCUCCCUGAUGGCUUGCCACUUCUCAAGCUGUGGCUCUAUCUAACGGCUCCCCUUGGACAUACUCAGACUGGAGGUCCAGACCUGCCUCGGGCUCCCAAGUGGAAGCUCUAAUCGUUCCGGAAGCCAUGUGGGAUAGACUUUGCAUCGCUCUGGGUUGCUGCGGGUCCCGUGGUGCUCCUGGAGGUUGCAGAGGAUCAAAGGUCAGAGCCUGAAGGAAGGUGACCUCACUAGGAGCUGCUCAGAUGUCAGGUGAAGUGCAUGCCCCACAAACACCGAUAGCACGUUGGUGCUGCAGCCAGAGCAGGCACACAAAGAGAUGGAGGCUGUGGAUCUAGAAAUACAUACAUGCUUGCGGAAGAACUUGCAGGCCUGCACACGCAUUGCUCCAGUCCUCAUGAGAAGUCUGUAUCUGACCUAGUAGCUGGACAAAAAUUUGCUUGGCUCUUAACCUGUAAGAAGUAGGCAGUAAUUCCAUAGCUUACGUUGCUCGUUAUAACUAAUGUAAUAAUCACAUAACGAAAUAUACAAAUAGAGAAUAAAACUGUCUUUUCAUCCUUAGACUAGAAUAUUGUGUUCUUUAUAAGCCAUUUAUACAUUUGUAUAAACAUGCCAUAUGGAUAUUCAUUAAUUAAUGUUCUUUGCAAUUAUAACCCCUUCUUCCUCCAUGUAAUAAUUCAGCCUUGACUUCUGGAUAGUGUUUGCAUAAUUGGAAUAACCUUAUGUGCCAGACUCAGAAAUUGCAUAAGUCAAUGAGAAGCUGUAAGUCUUUCCACUAAGCUGAAUGAGUUUAGGAUCUUGCUUUAUAUUCAUCUUUAAAUUCACAUCUUUCUGCCUUUGUUUUUUUCGCUUAGCAAUUUUAUCAUAUUGAUCACUUGUAAUAUAUGACUGAUCACGUAACUCAUACACUAUUAUUUCUUUCAUUCGAUUUGAUACUUACAAACUCUUUUGCAGUAACGUUACCCUCAUCACAUUUCCUGGGUAAGGAUGUCUGUAUACAUAUUUGUAUACAUACAUAUAAUAUACAUGUGUGGGCUGUAAGUAUAUAUUUAACAGCACAAACUCCAUUCUACACACACGGUUUCUGUGUGGGCAGAAGGAUUUAAUUCACAGACAUUGGUGCCAGAGCAGGAGUAGCCUGGUGGCUAGCAGUCCCACACUGACUCCCUUCCUAGCUAACGCACGCUGCCUUUUACACAGCUGUGUGCGCAUCCUCGUGGGAACAGAGAUGCCUGUAGUGACCAACUGUGCAGAUUUCGCUGUUACAGAUUCUCAAAUGCUCUCCUUAUGACCUAGUGUUCUUAUAAAUAACUGUUUUUGCUUACUUCCAUGAGCUGCAGUUGACAGCAGUGGGACUCCUAUUUAAUUACGUUUCUUAUUAAUACCAGAUGUGUUCAUCACAGCUUGAAGGGCUGCAGUGACUGCCACUUAUGCGUUAAGUGGAGUCUGACAUGUAAAUCUCAGAGUACUGUUCUCCAGAGAUCCAUGUAAACUGACUGUCAUUUGUUUGCUCCUUCAGUUCUCAUAUUAAAGGCACCCUAAGCUUCAAGUGUAAAUGUUGCUUAACAGGGCUUGUGUCUAAAGCACUCAGCAAAGGCUGCUCUUCGCAGCAGAGUGAACGGAGCAAGCUGAAAUGUCCCAGAACCUCAGACUGAAUGUUGCUGAAGGAUAAAUCUGAAGGAGCUGCUGAUUUUGUAUCAGGGCCUACCUGGGUGCGUUCUUCAAGAAGAGUCAGCAAUGGGGCACCAGAGCAAGCAGUGAAUAGUUGAUUAUGGUGUGGUAUGCAAAGUGAAGAUCAGAAAAAAAGGCUAUUCCUGCAUGUGUUCUCAGUGGUAGGAAUUAAGACGGAAUAUCAGGGAGGAAUGCGAGACAGAAGGCUCUAGCAGAUAAGGACAGUGUUCAGUAGCAACUUCUCAGGAGUCAAAGGCAAUAAGAGAAAAAGCAGUGUCUGGAUCUCAGGGUCAGUUGAUAUGUUUGCAGAUAACACACGUUGCUCGUCAACUCUGUUUAAGCAAGUUUCUCUCUUACAAACUGAUUUUUGCCAGCAAUUUAAUUGCUGGUUUGAUGAUUGCUUGCAACUGCAUAUAAAUCACUGUCUAAAGCAUUGUUUUCAUUUGUCUCCCUCAAAUAUCCAGCAUUAAUUCUGGAGUAAUACCAUUGGCAAAAUACAAUGUGUAUUAUUCUCAUCUCUAAAUGAAAAUAACUAUUAGUUAAUGUCCAAUAGAGAUUAUCAGCUAGAUGUCUUAGCAGCAGUUUAUUUUAUGCAGGCAGAAUUUAAAUAGGAUUGGGGUCAGCAGUAAUUUAGUCUGAUUAAGGAUGUGGUUUUUGGUUAUUGCUGAGCUGUAUGCAGAUUUGAAAAGAAUACAGGCAGAGUACUUGCGCGGAAGUAAAUGAGAACAAAACUUAAUCCUUUUCUAUUUUCU